rnacentral:tRNA from 1 species
GGCAGAGUAGCCUAGUGGAUAGAGCACAGCUCAGGAGUCAGAAGGACCUGGGUUCUAAUCCCACUCUGCCA